rnacentral:rRNA from 1 species
AUUGAACGCUGGCGGCAGGCCUAACACAUGCAAGUCGAGCGGACGAACGGAGAUUGCUCUCGGAUUCAGCUGGCGACGGGCGGGUGAGUCAUAGGUAUAUGCCUGGCCGUUGGGACUAGCGUCACGACGCGGGCGCUAAUACAGCAUACGUUCAUAGGGAGAACGGGGGGGAUCAUCGGACCUAACGCUUUUAGCUGACCCUAGGUCGGAUUAGCUAGUUGGUGGGGUAAAGGCCUACCAAGGCGACGAUCCGUAGCUGGUCUGAGAGGAUGAUCAGCCACACUGGAACUGAGACACGGUCCAGACUCCUACGGGAGGCAGCAGUGGGGAAUAUUGGACAAUGGGCGAAAGCCUGAUCCAGCCAUGCCGCGUGAGUGAAGAAGGUCUUCGGAUUGUAAAGCACUGUUAUUUGGGAGGAAGAGCAGUAAGUUAAUACCUGGCUGUUUUGACGGUACCAACAGAAUAAGCACCGGCUAACUUCGUG